AUGAGAAAAGUGGCUUUGAAGCAAGCACUUCUGGAAUACUGCAUCCAGUUUUGGGCCUCCCGUACAGGAAAGACACCAGUAAACUGGAGCGAGUUUAGUGGACACCACCAAGCUGGUCGGGGCUGGAGCACUUGCCCUGUGAAGAGGCUGCGGGAGCUGGGCUUGUUCACUGUAGAGAAGAGUCCUCACAGCAGUCCCCCAACAUCUACACGGAGGUGAUCAAGGAGAGAGAGCCAGGCUCUUUGCGGCGGUGCAUAGUGGGACAACAGGCAUAAGCUGAGAAAAAGAAGGUCCUACUGGAGAUAAGGAGACACUUUGCCCCCAAGAGGAUAGUGGAGCAGUGGUACAGGUUGCCCAGAGGUUGUGCUGUCUCCAUCGUUGGAGAUUUUCAAGCCCCGAUUGGACAAAGCCCUGAGCAACCUCGUCUGAGCUCACAGCUAUCCUUACUUGAGCAGCAGGUUGGACUGGAGCCCUCCUGAGGUCACUUCCCAUCUGAAUUUUCCUAUGCUCUUACAAUCCUACAUUUGCAACUAUAUUUGCAGUUCAGAAGUGGAAUAUGCACCCAUAUAGAUAAGCACAGCAAUGAACCAAACCACUCAGCCAGAUCCAAUAUCCUGUUGUUCUUAAAAGAAAUUAAGUGAAAUUGUCACAUUACCUCAGUCAAUAGCAGAAUUCUCAGUCAUUUUGACAGAGCCAAGAUAUCACCCAUUGUAUUUUGUCUCUAAAUAUGGAGAAGAAAUACUAAAGUUUUGCCAUCAGCUUCAGGGAGGUCAUGUUGCACCAGAUGACUAAGGUUAUCCAGUCCUAGGCCAGCUACAAUCUGUACUAGGCUCUUAGCUAAAAGUACCUAAAACAAGAUGGAAUGAAUCCAAGCAUGGAGGUUGAAUCACUGUUUUUUUUUUUUUUAAUCUAUACCUAAUUUGAGAUUGGGCUUAGCUUGCUUUGUCCAGGAAGCAAAUAUGUAUGACUGAUACUCAGUUUUCAAAGUUAAGCCUGUACAGUGUGUAUAUACAUACAUUCGCCUGAAGUGUGUGACUGCCAGAUUGUGAAUGCAACUGAUAUAAUUGUACCUGCCAACACAGUUAGAGACGAUCUUGUGUUUAUGCAAUCCAUGCUCAUGCAGAUUAGAUGCAUAGUUUCUUGCAUUUUCUUAGGCAUAUAAUAUAAACAUAUCCAUCUUGAAUGAGUCUGAUGUCUUUCUGUGCUUCUCUUAGACAAAGUUAAAAGUAAAAUAAAUUUGAGCUCUGAAUACUUGCA
rnacentral:lncRNA from 1 species